rnacentral:rRNA from 1 species
UACGUAGGUGGCAAGCGUUGUCCGGAAUUAUUGGGCGUAAAGCGCGCGCAGGCGGUCCUUUAAGUCUGAUGUGAAAUCCCACGGCUCAACCGUGGAAGGUCAUUGGAAACUGGGGGACUUGAGUACAGAAGAGGAAAGCGGAAUUCCAAGUGUAGCGGUGAAAUGCGUAGAUAUCGGGAGGAACACCAGCGGCGAAGGCGGCUUUCUGGACCAAUACUGACGCUGAGACGCGAAAGCGUGGGGAGCAAACAGG